AACGAACGCUGGCGGCAGGCCUAACACAUGCAAGUCGAGCGAAGCCUUCGGGCUUAGCGGCGGACGGGUGAGUAACGCGUGGGAACGUGCCCUUUGGUACGGAAUAGCCCCGGGAAACUGGGAGUAAUACCGUAUGUGCCCUUCGGGGGAAAGAUUUAUCGCCAAAGGAUCGGCCCGCGUUGGAUUAGGUAGUUGGUGGGGUAAUGGCCUACCAAGCCGACGGUCCAUAGCUGGUUUGAGAGGAUGAUCAGCCACACUGGGACUGAGACACGGCCCAGACUCCUACGGGAGGCAGCAGUGGGGAAUCUUAGACAAUGGGGGAAACCCUGAUCUAGCCAUGCCGCGUGAUCGAUGAAGGCCUUAGAGUUGUAAAGAUCUUUCAGUGGGGAAGAUAAUGACUGUACCCACAGAAGAAGCCCCGGCUAACUCCGUGCCAGCAGCCGCCGUAA
rnacentral:rRNA from 1 species